GGAAAGGUACCGAAGUGGUCAUAACGGGGCGGCCUCGAAAACCGUUAGAGUGUUACAGCUCACAUGGGUUCAAAUCCCAUCCUUUCCGCCA
rnacentral:tRNA from 1 species